UCUCCCUGCAUGAGAAGAGACUGGGAUGUUGUAGGAGGCACCCUAUGUCCUCUGGAAAGAGUUGCUACGGGCAUGGGGAUUUUUGUUUGUUGGCUAUUUGAGCACGGAGGUGGAACAAGAAAGGCAGGAGGAGAAGUAAAGGCAGGAAAGGGUGGCACAUACAUCAGCAAAACAAAAGAUUUCCAGAAACCAAAACAGAUUUCAGCUUACUUCACUGUCUAGGACUCCAUCACAUGAACUCCUCUGUUCUAUGACCGUCCUAUUACAUGGCUAAAAAUAAAAGAUUCCCAAAUUUCCAUGGAAGCGGCUGUUGGAAUCAAUGUGCUGGGGUUCUAAGCCUAAGACUCAAUUAUUAUGGUGCAGGUGAAAGCUGUAUAUUGAUCCAGCUGACGUGAAAUGAAAGUCAAUGUGAACACCUAUAGCCAAAACACACCUGAAGGAAAAAUAACAAGGAUCCGACUUUUAUUUGUGUGUGUGUAUUUUGCUUUCCUAUCUGCAGUCCUAGCCCCAGGGAUCCUGCCCCUUGGGAGAACAGAUUUUGUUUCAUGCAGUCAGAGGGA